rnacentral:rRNA from 1 species
GAUGAACGUUGGCUGUGUGCCUAACACAUGCAUGUCGAGCGGAGUAUUGUACUUGUAUAAUACUCAGCGGCAAAUGGGUGAGUAACACGUACCUAACCUGCCUUAUAGAUUGGGAUACCUAGAAGAAAUUCUAGUUAAUACCAAAUAUUGUUUAAUUUCGCAUGAAAUUAAAUUGAAAGAAGCUUUACAGCUUUGUUAUAAGAUGGGGGUGCGCUACAUUAGAUAGUUGGUAGGGUAAAGGCCUACCAAGUCGAUGAUGUAUAGCGGGGCUGAGAGGCUGAACCGCCACACCGGGAUUGAGAUACGGCCCGGACUCCUACGGGAGGCAGCAGUGAGGAAUAUUCCACAAUGGACGAAAGUCUGAUGGAGCAACACAGCGUGCAGGAAGAAGGUUUUUGGAUUGUAAACUGCUUUUACAAGGGAAGAAUAGCAAAUUGAGGAAAUGCUUUUUGUCUGACGGUACCUUGAGAAUAAGCACCGGCAAACUAUGUGCCAGCAGCCGCUGUAAUAC